UCAUACUCAUAAAUACUGUGAUUAGUUUUUAUUUGCUUUUGCUUGUGCUACAAAUUUGUUAACUGUUCACAAAUAUUUUGGCUACAUGUUGUUGGCUUGUUUUUUGUCAAGAUUAGUUGUUUUGUUGCUGUGGCCUCAGUCAUUGACUUAAAUAAGUCAGUUCAUUUUGAAAACUUUGUAGACGAAAUGCAUUUGGCUUUGACAUUAAAAGCUGAUCAAAAGUUAAGCAGCCAAUCGAAAACGGCGGGACAGACACCUCGAAAGCGUUGUUCAAAACUCUGACAAAACAAACAAACCAUUUGAUACCCGCCGGCAGUUGGUGAGGGGUGCGCGGAGCAGAGCAAAGGCGAAUGCGAAUGCGAAGGGUAGCUGUGGUAGUUGUGGUCUGGCAAAGUGCUGCCAAAAACGUGGGUGCCGCCACUGAGUUGCCUUGUAAGUGUUGCCACAGAAGUGACACAGCAAACGACCUCCAGACACACACACACAGAGAGCCAGUCAGAUGGGAACCAGUUCCAGAAGCACUUCAGAGCGAGACGCGAGCGUUGCGACCGCCGCGAGGACCGCAACAACCUGACCAGAAAAAGUGCUCAACAGCUGAUGACUGAGGACGAUGUCGACUGUCAACACCGCAGCCAACACCAGCUCGACUAGCUGCCCGUGCCCCGCCAGAACUCCCGACUGUCUUGCAGCCAUUUCAACUUUGGAAUUUCAAUAAGGCCCUGGACGUAGCAGAGUGAAAAUGCCGCAGGUGGUGACGGUGGGCAUGAAAGGGACGCAAUGGGCAACGUCAACGGCAAGGCAAGCAAAUAAGCCAAAAAGUAAAUACAUAAAUUAAAAGUGUUAAGGCGGGAAAUGUUCAAUGCGUGAAUUAAAUGAAAUUGUGUGCUUAACAACUGAAUAUUUGAGUUAAAUAUCGUCAUGGAGCUGCAGCUUUCUUCCAAUGACACAAUUGAAAAUCAACAAUUUUGCAUUUUAUUGUUGAUACAACAUUUGUUAUUUGAUAUUUCGCAAAUUUAAUGGCAUUUAAAUAUAUUUUUGAAUAAGCGUUCCGAGUUUAAACUUAA